UCGGGAAUUUUGCACAAUGGCCGAAAGGCUGAUGCAGCAACGCCGCGUGAGCGAAGAAGGCCUUCGGGUUGUAAAGCUCUGUUGCCUGCGAAGAAGGGCCCUGUCAGGAAAUGGGCGGGGUUUGACGGUAGCAGGCGAGGAAGCCCCGGCAAACUACGUGCCAGCAGCCGCGGUAAUACGUAGGGGGCGAGUGUUGUCCGGAAUUACUGGGCGUAAAGGGCGUGUAGGCGGCCUGUUAAGUCAGGGGUGAAAGACCGGGGCUCAACCCCGGGGGUGCCUCUGAAACUGGCGGGCUUGAGUGCUCUAGAGGGCAGUGGAAUUCCCGGUGUAGCAGUGAAAUGCGUAGAGAUCGGGAGGAACACCAGUGGCGAAGGCGGCUGCCUGGGGAGUCACUGACGCUGAGGCGCGAAAGCUAGGGGAGCAAACAGG
rnacentral:rRNA from 1 species